ensembl:lncRNA
UUCCUGUGCUUUAGGGCGCCUCACACGUCUCACCACGUUGACCCUGAAGACAACACGACUAUGACAAGAUCCCAGAGGACUUUGCCUAGUAUUUUCCUGUCUAAGGAGAUGGAAGGGCCCCAGAGAACCACGAAACUGCCCAACCUGGUGGGGCCAAAUAUUCUGAAUAUUCCAUCAAGAGCAAUAGCACUGUCCCUUACACGAGUAGAUGACACUCGACCCCGCGACAGUGACUGGUCAUUGUGCGCUCUGGACCCGGGCAGCGGACCACAGACCGACUGGGCUCAAGGCCGCUAGGCUUCCAGUCCUCAGGAGGAACCAACCCUGCUAAGACCCUUCUUCACCUAGAACUGCCGGCCUCCGGAAACUUGAGACAAUAAAUUUCUGUUGUUCAAGUCACCUGGUUUGUCACACUUUGUUACCAGCAGCCUUAGCAAAGUAACACACGUCCACGCUGGAAAGUGAGUGAGAGCAGCCAGACACAUUCAAGGGGGCAACUACUAGGCAAGCAUACCAAGAACCUUCUCCUGUUCCUUUCUCUCCCUGAAAACCCGCUGGCCCUCCCAGGCUGCUCCAAAAGCCGUUUCCACCACAAAGACUACUGUUGGGAAAUAAUUGCUUCUCUUGUGCUCACAGUGUAGGCAAGCAUAUGUCCCUCAUUCACCCUUUCCCUUUAAAAUUCAUUCUGCCAGUGAAGCUAGAGUAUCUCCCUUAAGAUCACCCUUGUAUCCUAGUUACGUGUUCACCCCUGUCUCUUACCCAUUCAAUUCUGUGAGUUUUGAGAGCCCAAGAUGUCUCAUUCACUGGGCUGUGUCAGAUCGACCCCUACCAGCUAAUGAGGAAUGCAUGCUAGCCUGGGA